CCCAGUACACUUUUUUCAUUACACUUUUCAGGUUGGAUUUUCUGGUACAUGUACAGCUGGCUGAGAAUGAGGUAGAUAAAGUGCUGAGUCAUCUUCUCGGAAUUACCAUGGCAAAUCUGCUAGCAGUCAAUUUCACCAUUUUCCAUGGAAAUAUUUCACUUCCUUUAUUUUCCCCUUCAUGUUCUUGCUCUUCCUACACUUGUGUUAACACAAAACCACACCUUUCCUCCCCAAAUGAUAAAAGUAACAAAUAAUGACCAUUAUAUCACAAUCCAAGCUUUGUUAUGAAAUGUUCUAAAAACAUCCUAAAAAUGAAAAUGUAUUCACUUAAUUAAAACCAAUUAAUUCUAUUUAGAGACCUUAAAUAUAACUCUUUUCAAAAGUUAUCACCACCUAAGUUGCUUUAUUAUCCCUUUUUUGUUGUCUUUACCCAUUC
rnacentral:lncRNA from 1 species